GAUGAACGCUGGCGGCGUGCCUAAUACAUGCAAGUCGAGCGAACAGACGAGGAGCUUGCUCCUCUGACGUUAGCGGCGGACGGGUGAGUAACACGUGGAUAACCUACCUAUAAGACUGGGAUAACUUCGGGAAACCGGAGCUAAUACCGGAUAAUAUAUUGAACCGCAUGGUUCAAUAGUGAAAGACGGUUUUGCUGUCACUUAUAGAUGGAUCCGCGCCGCAUUAGCUAGUUGGUAAGGUAACGGCUUACCAAGGCAACGAUGCGUAGCCGACCUGAGAGGGGGAUCGGCAACACUGGAACUGAGACACGGUCCAGACUCCUACGGGAGGCAGCAGUAGGGAAUCUUCCGCAAUGGGCGAAAGCCUGACGGAGCAACGCCGCGGGAGUGAUGAAGGUCUUCGGAUCGUAAAACUCUGUUAUUAGGGAAGAACAAAUGUGUAAGUAACUAUGCACGUCUUGACGGUACCUAAUCAGAAAGCCACGGCUAACUACGUG
rnacentral:rRNA from 1 species